GUGGGGAAUCUUGCGCAAUGGGCGAAAGCCUGACGCAGCCAUGCCGCGUGAAUGAUGAAGGUCUUAGGAUUGUAAAAUUCUUUCACCGGGGACGAUAAUGACGGUACCCGGAGAAGAAGCCCCGGCUAACUUCGUGCCAGCAGCCGCGGUAAUACGAAGGGGGCUAGCGUUGCUCGGAAUUACUGGGCGUAAAGGGCGCGUAGGCGGACAGUUUAGUCAGAGGUGAAAGCCCAGGGCUCAACCUUGGAAUUGCCUUUGAUACUGGCUGUCUUGAGUACGGGAGAGGUGAGUGGAACUCCGAGUGUAGAGGUGAAAUUCGUAGAUAUUCGGAAGAACACCAGUGGCGAAGGCGACUCACUGGCCCAAUACUGACGCUGAGGCGCGAAAGCGUGGGGAGCAAACAGGAUUAGAAACCCCUGUAGUCC
rnacentral:rRNA from 1 species